ACGCCCCCGUAGCUCAGGGGAUAGAGCAACGGCCUCCGGAGCCGUGUGCGCAGGUUCGAAUCCUGCCGGGGG
rnacentral:tRNA from 1 species